GGCCGGGUGGCGGAACGGCAUACGCAAUCGACUUAGAAUGCGCUUGGGGGACACCCCCAAUGCGGGUUCGAUUUCCGCCCCGAGCACCU
rnacentral:tRNA from 2 species